rnacentral:misc_RNA from 1 species
CGCCGAGAACCUACAGGUGCCGACGAUCUUGCUUCCGUUAGCCUAGGCUUCUUCAACGUGAAGCCACAAGAACGCGUGUGAAUACAAGAUUGAAUCUUGAACAAAAUAAUAAAAUCACAAUAAUCGCAAGACCGAAAGCAAUGCGAAUGAAAAGUUAAAUGGUUUUUAAACCGAAAAUACACAAAAACCGCGAGAUUUAUCGUCCAAAUAAAAUGAUGCUGCUUACGAAACUGAUAAUCUAAUAAAUAAAAAAUUGCCCCACAAUUUUAGGAAACCAAACCAAAAAUCGAUAAUUCUUAAAGAAAAAAAGAUUAAUUAUAGAGGCUCAAGAAUAAUAUAUUGUAAUACAUGACGUGCAAAUAUCUAUUGUCAACAUCAAUCAUGUCACCUAGACCAAUAUGGAGUUGGUGUCCACCAAUGAAUAUCCUUCGAAAAAACCAUUUAUUAAAACUAUCAGGGCUUUGUGACUUAAUACCAUUCUUUGUAAUCUUUUUUUUGGCUCAACCUUGUUUAACGGAGGCGCAAAUUGAUAGCACAGUGAGUGAACAGGAAACCAAAUCUGUUACCCUUCCAUGUCCCGUUAAUGAAGGAAAAUGUGGAAAACUACAUUCAUUAAACUGGUUCAAAGGAGAAGACCGUAUUGCUGCAAUGCUCUUGGGGGAAACAAAUGUUACGAAUGUAAAUAAGGAAUACAAGAACAGGGUAACUGUUGAGCUAAAUCCAUACAGACUUAUAAUUAACGACUUAAAAAUUGGAGAUGAAGAUAUUUAUCUUUGUGAUACAACAUUUUUUAUACCAGAAGAAACAUGCGAUAACUUCAAUGGGUACCGAAUUGAACUACGAGUAUUAGUGCCACCAUCGGAAGUUAUAAUUUUGGAUGUGAAGGGCGACCGAAUUGAAAAUGGAAGUGUAGUGGGUCCAAUGCAAGAGCGUCAGUCUCUCAAAGCAGCUUGUACUGUAAAAAAUACACGUCCUCAGCCAGAUGUGGGAUGGUUUCGUGGAUCCAAGCGACUGACAACAUAUUCACCUACGCAUGACAUUAAAGAUGGUCUUUUUACGUCAACACUAGAAUUGGAUUGGUUAUUAUCACGUGAAGAUCUGGCUCAAGAUAUAGAAUGCCGUGUAAAGUCGGCAGCUAUGCCAGAAACUAUUGUUCAAAAAUUUAGUAUAAACUUGCAAGUGCGGCCAACGAGUAUUGAAAUGAAUGGUGUAGAGCAUCAUACGGUUCAAGGCAGCAAAGUGAUUUUAACUUGUGAUAUUCACGGAGCGCGGCCACCAGUUAACCUUACUUGGUAUAACAUUACAUCACCCAUAGCAACAGAGGAAAAUAUUGUUACCGAGAUUCGUACUAGAGCAUUUGAGAAAAACGAUGGUACAUAUCAUACUCAGUCUGAACUCAUUUUUAAUGCGACUCGUUUUGAGAAUGACCGAGUAUUUCGCUGUGAGGCUGAAAAUAUAGUGAUACAAAUUAAUCGAGAAAAGCCAAUCUCUUCCGCGCUCACAUUGGAAGUCUUAUAUCCUCCAGUUGUCAAAGUCAGCCCACCUGAGGUGGUUACCAAUACAAGUGAAAUCGUUUUACUUAAUUGUGAAUAUGUGGCAAACCCAGCGUCACUAACAAAUGUUGUAUGGUAUCGGAACAAUGAAGUCGUGAAUGUCAAUAAUACAGAUCGUUAUCAGGGGGGUAAUUCAGAGAAUGUGGCUCUCGUUAUCAAGUCUACCGAAAAAGAUGAUACAGGAAAUUAUUCGUGUCAGUUAUCAAAUUCUAUUGGAAAAGGAACUUCUGAGCAGGAAAUCAAUCUGGAUGUGCAGUAUGUUCCUACUGUGGAGGUUGUAAUGAUUCCCGAGGGCCCUGUAAAAGAAAGCGACGAGUCAAAUGUUACCCUGUUCUGUAAUAUACUGGAUGCUAACCCAUCAAUUCUAACCAAAGUGAGAUGGUACGCAAACUCAACACUACUUAAGGAACUUCCCGACUGCGAAGAAACUAAUGAAGACCUUUGCCAUAUUGAUCCAAGUAAACUAUUAUUGGAGAGUAUAGGACGCGGCUUUUUCUACAAUUAUUCUUGCGAGGGAUUGAAUUCUGCUGGCUGGGGACCACGAAGUGAAGAUAAGGAGCUUAUAGUACAUUAUGAACCAGGACCGGCUACACUUUCUAAUUUUCCCUUAAUCGCUGUAAAAAAAAAAAGCGUAGUAUUCACUUGUUCCGUAGAAGAUCCUGGAUAUCCAGACACAAAUAGGUUUGUAACUAAACAAGCCGAUCAGAAUAACAAUAAAAAGACAAUAUCAUACCCCAUACUUAUUACUUACCACACAGUUAAAGCAUUGCAAUCUAAUGAAGCUGACAUUGCUUUAGAAUCUUUUCUUUUGCAAAAAAUACCGCGACAAUUAAAUGCACCAUCGGAAGACUUAUCACAAACGUUGCUAUCGAGUGAAUCCAGUCCAUUCAAUGAAAUUAAAGAAACACAUGCUUUAAUUGACUUGAAUUAUAAUAAUUCCCCAUGUACAUUACUCACGCUCACUACAUACAUGAAAAAAUCACAACUAGUAGUCCUUUACACGGGACUACAAUCAAAUCUUGUAUCAUCCACCUACGCCCUCUAUCGUAAAAUGGGAAAGUUUAAAUUCAAUGCUCAAAUGAUUUCAAAACCUAACAGAUAUCGUUGGCUACGCGGAGGACGCGGUCCGCUGCAGGACAUUGUUACAAAAGAUUGGACGGUGGAACCAGUAGGACUUGACAGUCGUACCAACUAUUCUUGCUAUGCUUACAAUGAAGGCGGUAAGGGAAUUAUGGCCACAGUUAAUCUAAAGGUGCACGCACCACCAUUUUUUAUCAAAAACUUACCGCCAUACACUGGAAUCUUGCAUUCUUCACCGAGUGCAAAUUUAACCUGCCGAAUCGAAUGUGUUCCACGAUGUGAAAUAUCAUGGCUUAAGGAUGGCAUCCCCAUUGAGAAAAAUAACACUAAAUACUUCGUAAAAGAAAAAUACAUGGAUCCAUCGCCGGCAACUGGAGAUUUUGAAAGCAUGUUAUCCGUGUUGCAUUUUAACAUGUCCAAUUGGAUACAAAAGAAAUUUGAUAUUGAGGCCGACAAUGAUAACUAUACAUGCCUAUCAACUUCAAAUUCGGUGGGCCCGAGCGUUAAGAGCACCACAUACUUUAGUAUCGAAUAUUCACCAAUCAAUACGACCGUUUCGGAAGAAAAUGUCUAUGUAGAAGAGGGUACUAUACCGGCACGGAUUUUAUGCAAAGCCAGAGCUAAUCCAGAACCUUCAUAUAAAUGGAUAUUUAAAAAUGAAACAAUAGCUAAUGGUAAUACCCUAAUUUUCGACUCUGGUUUACACCGAAACGAAAAUGGUAUAUAUACCUGUAUGGCGUAUAACAAACAUGGAAAUAAUACUGCAAACUCAAUUAUAAACGUGCAGUUUAAACCUGAUUGUGCCAUCAAAAGGGAAAAUAUAGAUGGUCAGGACACUCUAAUUUGUACUGCAUUUGGAAACCCUUUAGAGGCAGAUUUAACUUGGUCAAUUAAAGGUGAAAACGAAACCAUUGAGAAUUUGGGUAGUGGGUACCGCAACGAUCUUUCCGAUAAGAGUUUUUAUGUUUUGAAAGCGGAUUAUGGUAUCACAAGGACGUUCAGAUGUGUAGCCAAUAACACAGUUGGAUCAGGAACAUUUUGUGAAAUUGAAGUCGAUGUGAGACCUAAAAAGCAACUGGCUUGGUGGCAACAAUGGAAAAUAAACAAUAUUGUUCUACUUUUAACUGGAAUUUUAAUUUUAUUACUAAUUGUGGUAAUAAUUUGUUGCAUCAUUAUUUGUGUAUGCCGUCGUCGGCGUCGCCAGGAUAAAUUACACGACAAAUCAUCUUCUAUGGGAGAACCAUUGACGGAACCUUGCGAGUAUGAGAAUCUUCCGUUCCAUGGUCUGCAAACAGCGCCAAACAAGUCGUAUAACACUCCUAAGAGUUUUAAUAACAACGUUAAUGUGAUACACGGCGGCUUGCGAUCGAAAAAACUCAAUGAGGAUUAUAACAAAGCUAUUGACGGCGAUCCGCAAGUUGUUUUACACAACUCUUUAGAUAAAAAAAUUCUGCUAAGACAACCGAUAAAGCAUCCAAUGUUUUCUAUGGAAUAUUUAUCAUCUAAAGUUCCCCAUCAAGAGAAAAGUUCUAAUAGGCUAAAUAACUCUCAAAAAGCUAACUUAACCUUACAAACCUGUUUUCCCAAGAUAAAUCCAAAUACCAAGAAAAACCCUUAUCAUCUAGAAUUGGAUAAUACCUUAGAUGUUAUAACACAAAAAUUAAACAAAAAAUCAACCAAACAUGAUUUAUCAUUUGGUAACGCGCAUGAUAAUCACCCCACUGAUGUGGAAAAAGAAUCACUCGAAAUUUCAAUUUCUGGCAGUAAUCGAUUUUAUGCUGCCAAUACCGUCCAUAAAUACAAUAAAGGUAUGCAAAAUAUUCAAGAAAAAACUAUGGAAAAAGAGUUCCAGUUGCUAAAAUCUGCUGAAGAAACUAAUUUUAAAACAAAACAUUUCGUGAAUUCCACGGCGUGUUUGACUACAUCUCCUUCUGUUGAAGGCCUUUGCAUUUCACCUAGAUGCCAACAGCAAUACCCUUUUAUGAACAAUAGGAAUGGCAAUAGCGAUACACAUUGCGGAUUUUUAGAUGAGAACCGGUCAAAGAAUUCUGAUGAAUGCGUGAGAAGCAUAGGAAGAGAAUGUAAAUCUAAAAAAUACCUGGCUACUGCACAAAUGCAUUCGUUUUCAACUAAAGAAACACAAAAAAAAAUUCACAGGAAUUUAAAUCACAAAAUUAAAAGGUGCGCAGUAGAAACUGAUACAAACCUUCAGUCCAUUGAACAGGCAAGAUACAGAAUUAACCGAAGUGACUCAGGAAUAUCCAACAGUUCACAAGAAUCUCAAAUGCCAACUUUAUCUCCAUUGGGUCGAAGCAAAUAUACAAAAAUUAAACUUGUUAAUUCGCCUUCAAUCUAUAAUAAUAAAAAGAUUGUUCAUAAGCUGGAAUGUGGGAAAAAUGAUCAGCAAAACUGCUUUAUUGAAAUGGAUUCAUCAUGUUUUGGGAAUAUAGGCUUGGACUCUAUUUCUUCACCAGUAAAAAAUAAUUCUAAAUCGUUUUCGAUUUUUGCAUUAAAACAAAGUGACGGCUCUUCUAAAAAGGUUGUUAGGUUAGAUAAACAAUUCCAGCAAAAAAUAAAUACUGAUCAUAGUGCUACACCUAUUAUUCAAUGUUUGGAACGAACGAAAAUAGUCCACCCAAUCGAUCAGUCGAAUUGCAAAAUUUCAGAAAAUCUUCUGGAAUCACGGCAACGCAAAAAUUCAAUUCCAGACCAAUACGAGCAUCUUUCCGACUUUGAGGACCCUUUCAAAAGCAGCAAUACCUAUAUAUUCUAAAUUUGAAAAUAUUUAGUUAUUGAAUAAAUAAAAGAUAUGUUAACUUUGCUAUUUAAAAGCCAUUAAAUGCCACAAGUUUUGAUGAUGAAUUUAUUUAUGCUGAUCUCGAAAGUCAACACUACGGACCCAUUAAUUACAAGGCUGCAUCGUUA